rnacentral:rRNA from 1 species
CAGUCGCCGCGGGAAUACGUAGGGUGCAAGCGUUAAUCGGAAUUACUGGGCGUAAAGCGUGCGCAGGCGGUUCUAUAAGACAGAUGUGAAAUCCCCGGGCUCAACCUGGGAACUGCAUUUGUGACUGUAGAGCUGGAGUGCGGCAGAGGGGGGUGGAAUUCCACGUGUAGCAGUGAAAUGCGUAGAGAUGUGGAGGAACACCAGUGGCGAAGGCGACUCUCUGGUCUGUAACUGACGCUGAGGAGCGAAAGCGUGGGGAGCGAACAGGAUUAGAUACCCCUGUAGUCCCUGUCUCUUAUAA